rnacentral:rRNA from 1 species
GAUGAACGCUGGCGGCGUGCCUAAUACAUGCAAGUCGAGCGAACGGACGAGAAGCUUGCUUCUCUGAUGUUAGCGGCGGACGGGUGAGUAACACGUGGAUAACCUACCUAUAAGACUGGGAUAACUUCGGGAAACCGGAGCUAAUACCGGAUAAUAUUUUGAACCGCAUGGUUCAAAAGUGAAAGACGGUCUUGCUGUCACUUAUAGAUGGAUCCGCGCUGCAUUAGCUAGUUGGUAAGGUAACGGCUUA